rnacentral:rRNA from 1 species
UGGGGAAUUUUGGACAAUGGGCGCAAGCCUGAUCCAGCCAUGCCGCGUGCGGGAAGAGGGCCUUCGGGUUGUAAACCGCUUUUGUCAGGGAAGAAAUCUUCUGAGUUAAUACCUCGGGAGGAUGACGGUACCUGAAGAAUAAGCACCGGCUAACUACGUGCCAGCAGCCGCGGUAAUACGUAGGGUGCAAGCGUUAAUCGGAAUUACUGGGCGUAAAGCGUGCGCAGGCGGUUUUGUAAGACAGAGGUGAAAUCCCCGGGCUCAACCUGGGAACUGCCUUUGUGACUGCAAGGCUUGAGUGCGGCAGAGGGGGAUGGAAUUCCGCGUGUAGCAGUGAAAUGCGUAGAUAUGCGGAGGAACACCGAUGGCGAAGGCAAUCCCCUGGGCCUGCACUGACGCUCAUGCACGAAAGCGUGGGGAGCAAACAGGAUUAGAUACCCUGGUAGUCCACGCCCUAAACGAUGUCAACUGGUUGUUGGGAAGGUUCCUUCUCAGUAACGUAGCUAACGCGUGAAGUUGACCGCCUGGGGAGUACGGCCGCAAGGUUGAAACUCAAAUGAAUUGACGGGGUCAUAGCUGUUUCCUG